rnacentral:miRNA from 1 species
CGGUCGAGCGAGUCUCAGUCGGC